GAUGAACGCUAGCGGCAGGCUUAAUACAUGCAAGUCGAGGGGCAUCAAGGUACACGAAAGUGUAUUGUUGGCGACCGGCGGACGGGUGAGUAAUAGGUAGGUAACCUACCCCAUACUGAGGCAUAGCUGGGAGAAAUUCCAGGUAAUUCCUCAUGAGGUUAUAUGACACAUGUGAUAUAAUCAAAGGUAUCGCAAGGUACUGGUAUGAGAUGGGCUUACUGACCAUUAGCUAGUUGGUGAGAUAAGAGCUCACCAAGGCGAAGAUGGUUAGGGGUUUUGAGAGAGAGGUCCCCCACAUUGGAACUGAGAUACGGUCCAGACUCCUACGGAGCAGCAGUAGGGAAUAUUGGGCAAUGGGCGGAAGCCUGACCCAGCCAUGCCGCGUGAAGGAAGACGGCCUUAUGGGUUGUAAACUUCUUUACUAUGCGACUAACUAGAUUUACGAGAUAAUUCUAUAGAAUGUAGCAUAGCAAAAAGCACCGGCUAACUCCG
rnacentral:rRNA from 1 species